AACCAAACAUCCUUCGCCCGCCGACAUGUAAAGGAACAGUGUUGGACAUCCUCACAUCCCCGAGUGAAUUGCAGAAAACAUCGACAUUAAAGGCCAGGAUUGCAGGAACCACAAGUCUAUGGAAUUGUGGCCAAAACCACUAAUUUUUUGUCUAAAUUUUUGCAAAAAAACACUAGUUGUCGAUUUUGACCCAUUUGAUGACGAUUAUGACAAGUGAAGCCCGUAAAAGCUGACGUGGCAUAACGGUUCUCCACAAACGGCAUUAGACAGUUUAUCUACAUUUACACAAACACCCUUCGUGCAAAACUAAAAAUGCAAUCGGGUCCUAUCCAAGCAAAAACUGCAGCACGAGUUCGUGGUGUUUCGUCGCCGGCGAGGUACGGACACCGGAGCGUUGCUCUGAGGAGGAACAGGGCGGCGUCAGGCCUUCGGCCGGUGGUGCCGCGUACGCAUAGGGCGAGGGCGGCGUCAGGCACGCGAGUGAGCGGCAGCCGCCCCUGCUGCACGCGGGCGCGAGCAGCGGCGCCGGCGGCCAGGCGCGAACGAGGAGCGGCGACGGGAGCGACGCCAGCGAGCAGCAGCCGCGCCGGCCGAGCGCGGGCGCGAGCAGCAGCCGCGCCGGCCGAGCGCGGGCGCGAGCAGCGACGCCGGCGGCCAGGCGCCAGCGAGCGGCGGCGUCGACGGCCACGCGCUAGCAGCAGCGGCGACCGAAGCGACGCGAGCGAGCAGCGACGCCGGCGAACACGCUCGAGCAGCAGCGGCGCCGGCAGUCAGGUGCGAGUGAACGGUGGAGCUGGAACCUUAUCCUCUUUUUUCUACUCUAUACUAAAUGAAAAAAUGUCCUUAUCCUCUCAGGCCUUUUUACAUUGUAGUCCCUUGUAUUCUGUCUAUUUACGAUAUGUUAUGUUGUGCCACAUCAUUCUUUUCAGCGGGACCCAUCUGUCAUAAUCAUGAUUAAAACAAACAAACUAGGUGACUAGUGUUUUUUGCAAAAAAUGAGACAAAAAAUUACUAGUAGUUUUGGGCAUAAUUCCGUAGACUUGUAGUUCUUACAACCCUAGCUUUCAAUGUCGAUGUUUUCUGCAAUUCACUCUCACAUCCCCACUCACCAUAUACAAGCCUUUUGAAAGUAUGAAUACCUGCAACAAUACUCGCCAUAUGCAACCCUUUUUUCAGAGCUGACACAAUGACGGAUCCACGGCUCGCCUUCUCGACUUUCAAUCCGCUUCGUACUGGGAAUCGGAGGUGCUCCUGUAAAUAACAUGCCCCGCAGCCAACCCGGAGAUCCCCCAACCAUAACCCUACCCGGCAGCCAGCGCAACACGGUCGAGAACAAGAGGCGAUCCAAGCCGAGGUCGUUGCAGCCAUCGCCGCAUCGAUCGGCCUCCCGUCCUCAAUAGGAGGGCCCGCGUCAACCGGGGGGGUGGCGACGCUCCGAUCCGCCCUCCGGCACCUGGCACCAGCCGCUCGCUUCCUCAGCAAGGGCGGCGGACGCGGCAGCUCUGGACCUAGCUUCACCGCCGUCAGGCGGAAGCAUUCCACCGGCGGCGGUGUAUUCUACAGUACGAUAUUGUGGGACGAACCCUUCAAUUUGAGAACGCCGGUGACCUGGUUCGCAAUCAUUGCCACCGCCAUUGGAACUACUUUAGGGCAUCUCCAAUGUGCAGGCGCUUGCGUAGAUGCUUAAGGAAUAAACAUAAAAGAGCGUCCGGGUAAGCGCCUCGGCAUCCAACGCUGGCGAGCUGUGAGACGCUUGUUCUCUCUCAUCAAAUUAGCUUAUCGGUGAACUGAAGCGCUCGGUGCCAAGACUGGCGUCGCGGGCUAGUAGGCGCCAGGAAUUUCUCUCCGCGCUAGCAAAACGGCCGGGAUUUUUAGCCUUAGCGCCUGUCAUUAGCGCCCCAUUGUAUAUGCCCUUACAGGAUAAGAGUGCAGACGACUGAUCAUGAAAAGCAGAAGGCAUGUGGACACGAGGAGGGGAAGAAAAAGGAUAGCCUUUGAAGCAUCUGUGCAUGUCUUCCUUUUACUGAGAAGCAUCAGCAUCUUGGAUAAACAAGCUAAGGUUGAUGUGCUUGAAGUCCUUGUAGGCAUCAAGUUCAGUUUUAUGCCACCCCGUGCUAGGUUGGAACCUCUUUUUUUUUUAGGGUACUACGGCGGGCAAAAGCCAGCCUGAACACAUUUAUUAAUUUUAAGGUUUGACAGAGUAUAUGUACAGAGGGUGGGGGAUUGGAGAAGGUAGAAACAUCAAAAGAAAACAACUAUGCUAAUGCUACAUCUAGCCGGGACAACAUGAUACCCCAGUCAAUCAGAACUUGUUUGCAAUCUUCAUUUCCACAUCUAUGGGCCCAAAGAAAGAGGUCUUGCGCUGCCCGCCGAAGAACGAAACCCGAGGACUCAACUUCUUGCUUGAAAACUUUAGCAUUCCUUCUUUUCCACACACUCCAGAGGAUGGACAUAAUAACCGUAUUACGAAUUUUGCAAGCAGGUGAACGACCCUGCAGGCCUUGGUUGGAACC